rnacentral:lncRNA from 1 species
UGAACAUAAAUAAGAUGCUCAAAAUUUUGUCUGGGAGGAAAAAAAAGAAAAUCAAGCUACAUUUUUAUUCCAGAACUUUGUUUUGUAAAAUACAAAUUUUAUUUUGUGCUGAGUUCUUACAGUAUUAAAGCAAGUUGAGGUCUGGACUCUGUUACUAUUUUAACAUCUUCAUUGUCCUGAAGAUUAACAAGAUUUAAGAUUCAUGCUUAUUGUUUUUAAUACACAAAAUCAAGGGACCAGAGAGAUAGCCCAGCAGUUAGGAUCAUUUGCUGCUCUUCUAGUGGACUGAGUUCAGUUCCGAACACCCGCAUCAGAUGGUACCCUCUUCUAGCCUCUAAGAGCACCUGCACUCACACUUAGCAAAUACACACACAAUCAAAAAUAAAUCUCAAAGAAAUACUUAAUCAAAACUUCAUUCAGAUUGUCUCUUCUAGGCCAUCUGUUUCUAGUAUUUAACAUCGUUAAAAUGAAUAAAUGCAAAAACACUGCACACCUUUAAAAAAGAAAACACCUCACAUUGUGCUGUUGUGGUGGCACACACCUAGUCUCAGCACUCAGGAGGCAGAGGCAAGUGGUUCUCAUGAGUUCAAAGUCAGCUCCAGAACAGUCAGAGCUUCAGAGAGAGACCUACUUUAAAAAAAAUCAAAACCAGCCGGGCGUUGGUGGCGCAAGCCUUUAAUCCCAGUACUCGGGAGGCAGAGGCAGGCGGAUCUCUGUGAGUUCGAGACCACCCUGGUCUACAAGAGCAAGUUCCGGACAGCCUCCAAAGCCACAGAGAAACCCUGUCUCGAAAAACCAAAAAAAAAAAAAAAAAAAAAAAAAAAAAAAAAUGGUGGCGCACGCCUUUAGUCCCAGCACUAGGGAGGCAAAGGCAGGCGAAUCUCUGUGAGUUCGAGGCCAACCUGGCCUACAAAGCUACACAGAAAAACCCUGUCUCGAAAAACCAAAACAAAAAAACGAAAAGAACUUCAUCUUGUGCUAACACAGUAUACUGAGGUAGUGAGUUCCCUAAACCCACCAGUAUUUGUGUAAUCCGAAUGCAACUUAAAUUCAAAUGCCCCUUAAAAGACACAGGCUGUCAAGAGUGUUUCUCAAGUCAUGGCCACCACAAAGGUUGAAGUCAGGACUUGGCUGUAUGGAACCUAAUCCCAGCGCUCAAGGAGCACAGCAAGAAGUCCCUUUCUGACUUAGCAAACGGCACUGAAAUCAGACACCCCUGCAAAAAAGCAAAUUCCACAGUGUCCCACCUCACCCCGUCCCCUUCACACAGCCUUUGCUUCAGCCCAACAGGCAGGAUUCUUAGUCCUGAGGAUCUGGAGCAGCCAGACUUGGCUCGGUUUCUUCAUCUCUCCUAUCUCUAGUUCCACAGAGCACGGGGAGACCUUCCCGGAACGCGCGGCGCCGAGUGCCACACCGAGCCGCCAGACCCGGCCUCCCCCGACCGUCCUCCACCGCAGGAGCUCAGGCAUCCUCGGAGGAAGGCGACAUGCUAUGCAGGAUCCAACACGGCUGUCUGUCGCGCGAGUCGCGCAACAGCCGAGGCCUACUGGGUCCCGGCAUGCCUCCACUGGCACUGAAGGUCACCGACAAGGAAAAUCGAAUCGUCUGGCCUCUCGGCCACAACGUGAACCGUCUCUAAACCACACAGCCGGAGUCUGUCCUGACUUCCGACCGGGUCUGCGCAGUUGCACACGCCCACUUCCCGCGUGCCCCGA